CAAUACCAAACACUUAAAUUUUAAAUUAAACUUUUCAAAAGCAUUUCUUAAAAGCACUUUUCCAUAACAAUUUUCAAAAAUACUUUUUAAAAGCAUUGCCAAACUAGCCCUUAAUCUCAUUGGUUCCAUAUACCCAAAACAUAGCAGUUUCCAAAAACCAAAACCUUUUUUGCUACCUGUCCCUUUACCAGAGCAGCCUCCAAGCAGCUUUCAAUCAAUCCGAGUUUCUUUGCCUUCUCAUCUCCAACACACGACGAACCAAGUCAGACAAAUCUCUGUCCAGGUAAAAUUCCUCCCCCUCCUUCAAACUUUCAUAGGCUAGGGUGUGAGCAAGGAGAUUCUUAGAUUUAGGUGUAUAUUGGAAAACUAACCUCUGAAAAUGUACUUUUUGCCGGUGGAUAUCCCUAAUAAUGGCCCCAAUUACUGACUUAUUUGGGUUUGCUGAACUGCAUUUCUUGAUUCUUGUCAUUGAAUCACCUUCGAUUAUUACAGAUUCGAGGCCCAGGUGAAUCCCCAACUGAAUAGCUUGUAAGCAUGCAUGCGCCUUCGCUGCAAAUGGUGAUGGUACUGCUUUGUGGAGGACCACUUUCGAAGCCAGAAUCUUCCCCCCCCCCCCGGCCGGAGUUCGUAGCCACUACCCCAGAUCCAGAUUUUUACAUUGUUACCAUUCGAGGGGAUUUGGAGACUAAUUUUGAAUUUAAAAUUAAAAAAAAACAUAAAACCAAAGUUAUGAUUUAACAACUUGAUGAAUGGGUCGGUGAUUAAGACUCUGUUUGUUUGCCAGUAAAAUAUUUUCCGGAAAGUGAUUUCGGGAAAAUGAUUUACUUUUCUGGUGUUUGGAUGAAUCUGUGUAAAAUAUUUUCUGUUGUUUGGCAGAUUUCCUAAAAAUAUUAUCCGGA
rnacentral:lncRNA from 1 species